GUAUAAAAUGUUGAUGUUUGGAAACUAUUUAUUGGGAUGUGUCUAAUAAUAAUGUCUGUCUCAUACUAUAAUGAUUUUCCUUAUACAUCAUAUACUUCCUCCGUUUUUUUAUUAUUGCACCAUACGGAUUGAGUUCUAAUAUUUUGGUAAAAAUUCUUAAAUGAACCUGGUCCAUAGUAAAUUAUUGUGGACCAAGUAGCUGUCACGUGCGUAAGGAAUAGAAUGGCUUAAUCGUUUUGGAAAUUCAAACAAGCUACAGAAUUAUUUCGUUACCUUUUGCUUUCUCUCUCUUCACAUGAACUUCCAACUUCCAAGCUCCAUCUUCUCUCUUUAAAGGUCCAUUUUCUCUCUCUUCGAAGCUCGCCCAUAUGAGUUUUUCUCUCUCUACAUUUCAAGACCUCUUAGCCUCUUCUUCAAUGGUGAUAACUAGAGGUGGUGGAACAUUAUAGAGGAAGAGGGCCUUCGUUCUUCGGUAAAUCCCGAUGAUGGACAUAACGUAACUGCGGCAGCGAGAGGAGGUCUACAUACCUGACUGAUGGAGGGUGCCCAUGCUGGUAUUCAGAUAUUGGUAGCAGUUCAUGCUCGAAAACAGAAAUUUACUGAUGUCUAGAGAAACUGUGUUGGUAUUGAAUUUUGAGUUGCAUUGUAAAGCCGUGGUGAUUUUUAGAUGCAAAGGAUGAUAAAGUUUGUGAUGACCUUGUCAAGAAGCUCUAGCUUUCUUUCAUCUCUCAAGUAGGAAAUAUGAUUAGAUGAUUGUAAUUUUAUCAAACUUGGCUGCAGCAACUGAAGAUCUAUUUACUAAAUAAAUUUUUGAUUUCAGCAGUGCCUCAAACUACAGAUUCUCUUAUAAGCUCAAAUCCCUUGGGGUUAUGCAAGUCCAAUGAACAUGGUACAUAACCCUUGAAAACGCUGGUUCAUGGAUGUCUCUACUUAUAUUGGAAGCUCAUUGUUGACAGGAUAAUUUAGGUGAGGGGAGGUCUACAUACUUGAGUACCUGACUGAUUAGAUGGUGGUAUUGGUCGCAAUUCAUACCGACUGAUUGGAUGUUUAGAGAAAUAAUGUUGGUAAUGGUUAUUUGGCAUUGAAUUUUGAGCAAUAUUGUGAAUCCGUGGUGAUUUUGAGCAGCAAAGUGAUGAUAAAGUUGUGUGACUACCUUGGGAAGAAACUCUUGCUUUCAUAUAUCUCUCAAAGAGGAGAUAUGCUUAGGUGAUGGCCUUAUGUUGGUUUGCAAUCUGAGUUACUAGAUUUACACAGUGCUUCUUUUCCAGUGCCUUGUCAUAACAUUGCCUUAUAAGUAAUUCUCAAGAACGGGGAACUCCCUAGCUAAUUCGUGUUGAAUGCUGUUCAGUUUUGAAUCAGACCAGGGGCGGCCUGUAUACUUGGACUGAUUGUCUGCUUUGGCAUUUGUCGAAGUAAAUAUUGGAAUUGUGAGAAAGAUUGACCUAAGCCUGAGGAUUUCCCCUGUUCGUUCAUAAUUUAUCAACAAUCAAUAGCCUUAUUAUUUAAGUCUGAAAGGAUUUCUGAAAGGUUGUUAUUGUUAUAAAAUAUUCCAAAGAGAAUGAGCUGGAGAUGCACUCUGCAGCCUGCAGGAAAAUAGAUGUGAUAUCUUUUUAUUGACUGCUGCAACCGAAAGAUCUUUGUACUGAAUAAAUUUUAGGUUUUUGCAGUGCCUCAAUUGCCUGAAACCAGAGAUGUUCUUAUAAGCUCAAAACCGUUGGGCUUAUGUAAGUCCAAUGAACAUGUUGUUAUUGUGAUAAAAUUAUUCCAAAGAGAAGUAGGAGAUGGUAGAAAAAUUGUGAUGGCUCAAAACCCUUGGGCUUAUGCAAGUCCAAUGAAUUUGGUUAUAUGAACAUGGUAUAACCCUUGAAAAUGCGGGUCUGUGAAUGUCUCUACGUAUAUUGGAAGCCCUGAAGCCUUGGAUCUUACGGUUUCUCUUAUGCUCUUACCAUGCGAUGACUAGUGCCGUUUGAAAUGUCACAUUAACAAAACAUGCAGUGGAUAUUCCAGCUCGUUCACACAGAAAUCCAUGACGACUCAGUACAUAUGGGAAUCAAUUUUCCCAAAUCGACGUAGAAGAUCAUGUGGCAAACUUGAGAUCAUGGUGCUAAUAACUUUUGAAUCAACAGCUGCAGUUCCAGACUUCCAGCAGCACGUUUUACCACUUUGCUAGAGCAACAAGGAGAUAACAGCUACUGAUGAUCCAGCCCACUUAGGCUCUAUAUAGCAGUAAAGUUGGAGGUAGUGGUUAUUAGCGUUUUGAUCAGGUCGAAUGGGCUACAUCCUCCAAGUAGAAGAGAAUAACCCCAACAACGCUGAUAUUUUUACCGUUUGACAAAACCUACUCAAACGUUACCUCUAUCACUAUCCGCUAUUUAAACCACUGAGUUGUUGGAAAUAAGGAGCACACAGAAGCAUCUCAGACACAAAAUAGAGGAAAGUCAAAGAAGAAGAAUGGGAGGUUCCCCAUCGAAUAUGUCUGGUUUUUCACCUGAUCGGGACCCAAACGAAAGUCGGUUGACGCCUAAUUUUGAUACGUUUCUGCCAUCCCAUGCUCUAUAUCCAAUGGUUAGAUAAUACUUUUGUCUCCGAAUGUUGAUAAUCUCUAUUUGUAUGGAGAAUGGUUUGUUCCAAACAUGUUGUUUGAUGUUGUAAAGCCUCCAACAUUUUUUGGAGGACAACUUGGUGUACCCAUUAAUUAUUGAAGUGGAAGGGCUUGGUGCCGGCUUACGGUACCCGUGGUUUUUUCUCGGAUUGGGUUUCCACGUA